AGCUUCCGUGACUGCCAUCUUAGCUUCUCUUCUCGCCUCCUUGUAGAUCAACCUGUUCGCUCUCCGCUCCUCCUCGCUUGUGCUCCCUACCAACCUAACGAACUCCGCCUUCUUCACCUCCACUUUUCCUUUGACUGCCUCGUUCCACCACCAAUCACCCUGAUGUCUGCCUGAAUAUCCCUUAGCUACCCCGAGCACGUCCCGUGCUGCCCCCCUAAUCAAGUUCGCCGUC
rnacentral:lncRNA from 1 species